rnacentral:misc_RNA from 1 species
UAAAGACAUAAAGGGCAAAAAAAAGAAGAAAAGAAAAACGUACUUGAUGAUGUUGAACCCAUGUAAAAUUUAACUAGAGAUCAAGUGAGCAAAAAGGGUACUGAGAUUGAAGAAAUUGAAAAUUAACAUGGGGUAAUUUGGAUUAUCAGCACAAUCCAAUAGUUAAGGUUAAAUUGGGGGAAUCUGACAAAAAAAAAAUAAUAAUAAUCAGAUGUCAUGACUGAAGAGGAGAGAAAAUGGAUUGAGAGAAGAAGAUAGAAAGAACUCUUUGAAGAAAAUGAUUAAUUGAUAAUCGAGGAAGGAAGGAAUAAAAAGCGAGAAAAGAGAAAAAAUGAAAAAAGAGUUUUUCUAGGAUUAGAAGGCAUGCUUUUUGACGCUAAUAUGAAAACCUCCGUGUUUUCUAUUUGGGAGACUUGUAGAAAAUUUGGAAAACUCUUCAAAUUUUAUAACGGAAAAUUUUGGAAAAUAACUUAGAGAUAUUUUCUAAAUUUUCUUUUAAAUUUGGAAAACUAUUUCUUAACUUUUUUUUUGAAAAUUAAUCAAAGUGAACAGGAUAUUCUAAUUUCCAUUUUCUGUAGAAAAUUUUUUUAGAAGAUUAGGAAAUUCUCUCUAAGUAAACAGGCCCUUAAGUUUCCUUUGCAAUUGUCAAAAAAAUUUCACACACACAUACAAACAGAGAGAUGGAGGGAGAGAGUAGCAGGCUCCACAUGCAAAGCAUUUGUCUUUUCCUUGUAAAGCAAGUUGAUUGGUUAUAUACAUUAAGUUUCCUUAGCAAUUGUAGAAAAAAAAAAGUUCACACACAUAUAUACAUAGAGGGAUGGAGGGAGGGAGUAGUAGACUCCAACUGCAAAGCACUUGUCUUUUCCUUGUAAAGCAAGUUGAUUGGUUAUAUACAUUAAGUUUCCUUAGCAAUUGUAGAAAAAAAAAAGUUCACACACAUAUAUACAUAGAGGGAUGGAGGGAGGGAGUAGUAGACUCCAACUGCAAAGCAC